rnacentral:misc_RNA from 1 species
UCUCUCUCUCUCUCUCUCUCUCUCGCUCAGAGAAAGAGAAAGAGGCAAAAAAGGGGAAAGGUCUGGCCGGGUUAAAAAGCGUAGCAGUGAGGUUUGUGGUGGGUGGUGGUUGUAGAAGAAAGAUCAGAGCUAAGAGAAAAGCUAAUAAAUUGAUGGAUUGGUGGCAGAAGAUGAUCUUUCCCGUUAGAAGAGUUUGGAUUUCUCUCUCUGC